UCAACGGAUAAAAGGUACUCCGGGGAUAACAGGCUGAUACCGCCCAAGAGUUCAUAUCGACGGCGGUGUUUGGCACCUCGAUGUCGGCUCAUCACAUCCUGGGGCUGAAGUAGGUCCCAAGGGUAUGGCUGUUCGCCAUUUAAAGUGGUACGCGAGCUGGGUUUAGAACGUCGUGAGACAGUUCGGUCCCUAUCUGCCGUGGGCGCUGGAGAACUGAGGGGGGCUGCUCCUAGUACGAGAGGACCGGAGUGGACGCAUCACUGGUGUUCGGGUUGUCAUGCCAAUGGCACUGCCCGGUAGCUAAAUGCGGAAGAGAUAAGUGCUGAAAGCAUCUAAGCACGAAACUUGCCCCGAGAUGAGUUCUCCCUGAG
rnacentral:rRNA from 2 species